CAGCAGCCGCGGGAAUACGGAGGGCGCGAGCGUUACCCGGAUUUACUGGGCGUAAAGGGCGUGUAGGCGGCCUGGGGCGUCCCAUGUGAAAGGCCACGGCUCAACCGUGGAGGAGCGUGGGAUACGCUCAGGCUAGAGGGUGGGAGAGGGUGGUGGAAUUCCCGGAGUAGCGGUGAAAUGCGCAGAUACCGGGAGGAACGCCGAUGGCGAAGGCAGCCACCUGGUCCACUUCUGACGCUGAGGCGCGAAAGCGUGGGGAGCAAACCGGAUUAGAUACCCAUGUAGUCCCUGUCUCUUAUAC
rnacentral:rRNA from 1 species